AGGACAAACGCUGGCGGCGUACCUAAGACAUGCAAGUCGAACGGGACUUUCCGCUUCGGCGGGGAGUCGAGUGGCGGACGGGUGAGUAACGCGUAGGAACCUGUCGUUUAGUGGGGGAUAACGCUGGGAAACCGGCGCUAAUACCGCAUGAGGUCCUGGAAACGGGAAGAAAGCCGAAAGGCGCUGAAUGAGGGGCCUGCGUCCGAUUAGCUAGUUGGUGUGGUAAGAGCAUACCAAGGCGACGAUCGGUAGCUGGU
rnacentral:rRNA from 1 species